rnacentral:lncRNA from 1 species
GGUAGACCACCGGAUCGAGCUGGAGCCGGGAGCUUGCCCCUCACACCGACGGGGCGGGCCCCUCACGCUGAAGCGGGUCGAGGCAAGCUCGCCCCUUUCUUUCACACCGGAGUUUCAUAUGAGGCGAUUGUUCACCGAGAGGAGUUUGACACACAAUGGUCCCACUAGACCGCGUUGUGGACCAAAGCCACAUCCGAUCAUGUUUUGACUCUUAGGUCACAACCUCACACACCUCCAAGGGGUCUGGUACAUACAAGAUGAUCAGUCACAAACCCCGGAAGAGGAGUUGAACGACUAUGAUCAUUAGGUGACUCACAGGUCACAAUAAAUACACCUCUGAGGGUGGGCUCUUUCGGCUCGCAAUAUAAGGAAG